AUUGAACGCUGGCGGCAUGCCUUACACAUGCAAGUCGAACGGCAGCACGGGUGCUUGCACCUGUUGGCGAGUGGCGAACGGGUGAGUAAUACAUCGGCACAUGUCCUUUAGUGGGGGAUAGCCCGGCGAAAGCCGGAUUAAUACCGCAUACGAUCCACGGCUAAAAGCGGGGGCCCUUCGGGCCUCGCGCUAUCGGGUUGGCCGAUGGCUGAUUAGCUAGUUGGUGGGGUAAAGGCCUACCAAGGCGACGAUCGGUAUCUGGUAUGAGAGGACGACCAGCCACACUGGAGCUGAGACAGGGCCCAGACUCCUACGGGAGGCAGCAGUGGGGAAUUUUGGACAAGGGGCGAAAGCCUGAUCCAGCAAUGCCGCGUGUGUGAAGAAGGCCUUCGGGUUGUAAAGACCUUUUGCCGGGAAAGAAAACCAGGAGGUUAAUAACGCGGGGGGAUGACGGUACCGAAAGAAUAAGCACCGGCUAACUUCGUG
rnacentral:rRNA from 1 species